rnacentral:rRNA from 1 species
GACAGAGGGUGCAAACGUUGUUCGGAAUUACUGGGCGUAAAGCGCGCGUAGGCGGCCACUUAAGUCGGAUGUGAAAGCCCCUGGCUCAACUGGGGAAGUGCACCCGAAACUGAAUGGCUUGAAUGCAAAAGAGGGUCGCGGAAUUCCCGGUGUAGUGGUGAAAUGCGUAGAUAUCGGGAGGAACACCAGUGGCGAAGGCGACUACCUGGCCUGUUCUUGACGCUGAGGCGCGAAAGCUAGGGGAGCAAACGGG